rnacentral:tRNA from 1 species
CGAGCUAAAGCUUUGUAGAGAGUAUUUUAGUUACAUUAAAAUGGUAUGUUUUUGAACAUGGCUUGA